rnacentral:misc_RNA from 1 species
GAAUUGCAAAAUACGUGAAUCAUCGAAUCUUCGAACGCAUAUUGCACUUUUUUAGUUUACUAAAAAAGUAUGUCUGUUUGAGUAUCAGUAAAAUAUUCUCAUAAAAAAUUUAUUUUUUAUGGUUUUGAGUGUUUUACAACGAUACAAGUUGUUUCACUUUAAAUUUUUUGAUAUUGGAAAUUUUUCAAUUUUUUUAAAAUUGGAUAAAAUUUUCCCGUAAAAAGGAAUAAACUUGACAAUUUUAAAAAUAAAGAAAAACAUUUCCUCAAUAAAGGAAAAUUUAAAAUCAACCUGAUCUCAAAUCAGAUAAGAGUACCCGCUGAACUUAAGCAUAUCAAUAAGCGGAGGAAAAGAAACUAACAAGGAUUCCCCUAGUAACGGCGAGUGAAGCGGGAAGAGCUCAAAUUUGAAAUCUUAAAGGGCUUCCCUUUACGAAUUGUAGUUUUAAGAAGUGUUUUCUGUUGGAGUUUCGGUAAAAGUUCUUUGGAAUAGGACAUCAUAGAGGGUGAGAAUCCCGUAUUUGACCGUUACUUUCCAGCUGUGUGAUACACUUUCAAAGAGUCGGAUUGUUUGGGAAUGCAGUCCAAAAUGGGUGGUAAAUUUCAUCUAAAGCUAAAUAUUGGCGAGAGACCGAUAGCGAACAAGUACCGUGAGGGAAAGAUGAAAAGAACUUUGAAAAGAGAGUUAAACAGUACGUGAAAUUGUCAAAAGGGAAGCGUUUGACACCAGUGUUGUUUAGUUGAAAAUCAAUUCAAUAGUUUUUGAUUCUAAGUAGUAUUGACUUCAUCAGCUUGCUGCUUUCUUCUCAGAAAUUAUUGAAUGCACUUUUCAGUUAACAAGUCAACAUCAAUUUCUUUUGUUGUAAAAGGGUAAGAGGAAGGUGGCUUGCGCUUCGGCUCAAGUGUUUAUAGCCUUUUAUCUCUGCAAUCGGAGAGAUUGAGGUCUGCAGCGUAGAUCCUUCGGGGUUAGAUACAUUGGUGCUAAGCUAUAGCCUUGUAUAGACAACUUGUUGACUAUGCUCAGUCAUGUAGCUUACUCGCUGAUGCUAUUUUACCUACGCUUAGGAUGUUGAC